CCCUGCCAUUUGUACACACCGCCCGUCGCUGCCCGGGACUGAGCCGUUUCGAGAAAAGCGGGGACUGCUGCUGUCGGGGCUUUCGGGCCUUGGCUUCGGUGGAAACCGCUUUAAUCGCAGUGGCUUGA
rnacentral:rRNA from 1 species